rnacentral:rRNA from 1 species
UGGGGAAUAUUGGACAAUGGGGGAAACCCUGAUCCAGCAAUGCCGCGUGAAUGAUGAAGGCCUUAGGGUUGUAAAGUUCUUUCACCUGUGAAGAUAAUGACGGUAGCAGGAGAAGAAGCCCCGGCUAACUCCGUGCCAGCAGCCGCGGUAAGACGGAGGGGGCUAGCGUUGUUCGGAAUGACUGGGCGUAAAGGGCGCGUAGGCGGUUUUUUAAGUGAGGCGUGAAAGCCCUGGGCUUAACCCAGGAGGUGCGUUUCAUACUGGAAGACUUGAGUACGAGAGAGGAAAGUGGAAUUUCUAGUGUAGAGGUGAAAUUCGUAGAUAUUAGAAAGAACACCAGUGGCGAAGGCGGCUUUCUGGCUCGUAACUGACGCUGAGGCGCGAAAGCGUGGGGAGCAAACAG